AUACGGAGGGUGCAAGCGUUACUCGGAAUCACUGGGCGUAAAGCGCGCGCAGGCGGCUAUAUAAGUUGGAUGUGAAAGCCUACGGCUCAACCGUAGAACUGCAUCCAAAACUAUUUAGCUAGAGUGUGGGAGAGGAAGAUGGAAUUAGUUGUGUAGAGGUAAAAUCCGUAGAGAUAACUAGGAAUACCAAAAGCGAAGGCAAUCUUCUGGAACACUACUGACGCUGAGGCGCGAAAGCGUGGGGAGCAAACAGGAUUAGAUACCCUAGUAGUCC
rnacentral:rRNA from 1 species